GCCCUCCAAAUUCCUUACCCUAUAGAUCUAAAUAUUGGUCUGAGUGCCUAACAAAAGGAGGAAAAGUAAAACCGAAGUGACCUUGAAGUCAAAAAGAA
ensembl:snoRNA